rnacentral:rRNA from 1 species
UCAAGCAAUAAGGGCACAGGGCGGAUGCCUUGGCACUAAGAGCCGAUGAAAGACGUGAUAAGCUGCGAUAAGCUUCGGGGAGGAGCAAAUAUCCAUUGAUCCGGAGAUGUCUGAAUGGGGAAACCCACAUGAGCAAACCUCAUGUAUCCAUACGCCAAUCCAUAACGUAUGGAAGGGAACCCGGGGAACUGAAACAUCUAAGUACCCGGAGGAAAAGAAAGAAAACUCGAUUCCGUAAGUAGCGGCGAGCGAACGCGGAGGAGCCUAAACCGGAAUGCGUGCAUUCCGGGGUUACGGACUGCAUUUAAGAUUCUUUGAAGCUAACAGAACGGUUUUGGGAAAGCCGGCCGGAGAGGGUGAAAGCCCCGUACGUGAAAGCUGAUGAGACUGAGCAGGAUCCAGAGUACCACGAGACACGUGGAACCUUGUGGGAAAUCAGGGGGACCACCCCCUAAGGCUAAAUACUACUUAGUGACCGAUAGCGCAUAGUACUGUGAAGGAAAGGUGAAAAGGACCCCGGGAGGGGAGUGAAAGAGAACCUGAAACCAUAUGUUUACAAGCUGUGGAACAUCUUUAUAUGAUGAACCGCGUACUUUUUGUAGAACGGUCCGGCGAGUUACGCUGGCUGGCGAGGUUAAGGGCUGAAGGCCCGGAGCCGAAGGGAAACCAAGUCUGAACAGGGCGAAAUAGUCAGUCGGAGUAGACCCGAAACCGGGUGAUCUAUCCAUGUCCAGGUUGAAGUUGCCGUAAAAGGCAAUGGAGGACCGAACCCACAUCCGUUGAAAAGGGUGGGGAUGAGGUGUGGAUAGGGGAGAAAUUCCAAUCGAACCCGGAGAUAGCUGGUUCUCCUCGAAAUAGCUUUAGGGCUAGCCUCGAUACAGAUUUGCGGAGGUAGAGCACUGAAUUUCCUAGGGGGCGUCAAAGCCUACCGAAGAAUAUCAAACUCCGAAUGCCGCGUAAUCGAUUAUCGGGAGUCAGACUGCACGAGAUAAGUUGGGCGGUCAAAAGGGAAAGAGCCCAGACCUUCAGUUAAGGUCCCCAAGUGCGCGUUAAGUGGAAAAGGAUGUGGGAUUUCGAAGACAACCAGGAUGUUGGCUCAGAAGCAGCCAUCCAUUCAAAGAGUGCGUAAUAGCUCACUGGUCGAGAGGUCCUGCGCCGAAAAUGUCCGGGGCUGAAACGCGCCACCGAAACUAAGGAACCGAAAGGUUGGUAGAGGAGCAUUGCAUGCGGGAAGAAGCAGUACCGUAAGGAGCUGUGGACUGCAUGGAAGAGAGAAUGCCGGAAUGAGUAGCGAGAUAGAGGUGGGAAUCCUCUAGGCCGAAUAUCCAAGGUUUCCAGAGUAAAGCUGAUCUGCUCUGGGUAAGUCGGGGCCUAAGGCGAGGACGAGAGUCGUAGCCGAUGGACAACAGGUGGAGAUUCCUGUACUGCGGUAUGACAGAACUGUGGGGACACGUAAGGAAAGCGGAAGCCGGGAAUGGAAAGCCCGGUGCAAGCGGGGUACCAGUCACUUUGGCAAAUCCGGGUGGCAAUGGGAAGCCGUGAUGCGGAGCGAAAUAAAGUAGCGAAGUCCGUGAGCCAUGCGUCAAGAAAAGCCGCUAUUGUUUAUACCGUACCCGUACCGUAAACCGACACAGGUGGAUGAGGAGAGAAUCCUAAGGCCGGCGGAAGAAGCAUUGUCAAGGAACUCGGCAAAAUGGCCCCGUAACUUAGGGAUAAGGGGUGCCUGGGAAACCAGGCCGCAGAGAAUAGGCUCAAGCAACUGUUUAGCAAAAACACAGGUCUAUGCGAAACCGAAAGGUGAGGUAUAUGGGCUGACGCCUGCCCGGUGCUGGAAGGUUAAGAGGAGAGGUUAGCGCAAGCGAAGCUUUGAAUUUAAGCCCCAGUAAACGGCGGCCGUAACUAUAACGGUCCUAAGGUAGCGAAAUUCCUUGUCGGGUAAGUUCCGACCC